GACGAACGCUGGCGGCGUGUUUAGGACAUGCAAGUCGCACGGGAUAAGACAUGUAGUAAUACUUGUUUUAUUUAGUGGCGCACGGGUGAGUAACACGUGAAUUACAUGCCCUAUAGUGGGGAAUAGCCCAGGGAAACUUGGAUUAAUACCCCAUGGUAUCGAAAGAUUAAAGGUGGCCGCAAGGCUGUCGCUAUAGGAUUGGUUCGCGCCCUAUCAGCUUGUUGGUGAGGUAAUGGCUCACCAAGGCAAUGACGGGUACCUGGUCUGAGAGGACGAUCAGGCACACUGGAACUGAGACACGGUCCAGACACCUACGGGUGGCAGCAGUCGAGAAUAAUUCACAAUGGGGGCAACCCUGAUGGUGCAACGCCGCGUGAAGGAUGACGGUCUUCGGAUUGUAAACUCCUGUCAUCUGGGAGAAAGACCUGACGGUAAAUAGCCGGCAGGGUUGAUAGUACCAGAAGAGGAAGGGACGGCUAACUUCGUGCCAGCAGCCGCAGUAA
rnacentral:rRNA from 1 species